UCGGCUACAUCACGUAGAACCAUCGAUUCUCGUGCGAUCACCGAAGUUAAGCAACGUUGAAGCCAAGUCAGUACCUAGAUGGGUGACUGUUUGGGAAUACCAGGUGCU